rnacentral:snRNA from 1 species
GUUUAUUGAAGACGGAGAGAGACUGGAAUGAUACAGAGAAGACCAGCACGGCCUCUGCACAAGGAUGAUGUGCAAAUUCAUGAAGCGUUCCAUAUUAAA